rnacentral:misc_RNA from 1 species
UCCGAGUUAACCCCGGCAGUCUCCCGCGAGUCCCCAACACAACUUGCUGGCAACACGGGAUAAGGGUUGCGCUCGUUGCGGGACUUAACCCAACAUCUCACGACACGAGCUGACGACAGCCAUGCACCACCUGUCACCCAGUCCGAAGAGGCACCCAUCUCUGGGUGUUUCCGGGUGAUGUCAAACCCAGGUAAGGAUCUUCGCGUUGCAUCGAAUUAAUCCGCAUGCUCCGCUGCUUGUGCGGGUCCCCGUCAAUUCCUUUGAGUUUUAAUCUUGCGACCGUACUCCCCAGGCGGAAUGCUUAAAGCGUUAGCUGCGCCACUGACGGGCAAGCCCGCCAACGGCUAGCAUUCAUCGUUUACGGCGUGGACUAC